GAUGAACGCUGGCGGCGUGCCUAAUACAUGCAAGUCGAGCGAACAGACGAGGAGCUUGCUCCUCUGACGUUAGCGGCGGACGGGUGAGUAACACGUGGAUAACCUACCUAUAAUACUUGGAUAACUUCGGGAAACCGGAGCUAAUACCGGAUAAUAUAUUGAACCGCAUGGUUCAAUAGUGAAUGACGGUUUUGCUGUCACUUAUAGAUGGAUCCGCGCCGCAUUAGCUAGUUGGUAAGGUAACGGCUUACCAAGGCAACGAUGCGUAGCCGACCUGAGAGGGUGAUCAGCCACACUGGAACUGAGACACGGUCCAGACUCCUACGGGAGGCAGCAGUAGGGAAUAUUCCGCAAUGGGCGAAAGCCUGACGGAGCAACGCCGCGUGAGUGAUGAAGGUCUUCGGAUCGUAAAACUCUGUUAUUAGGGAAGAAAAAAUGUGUAAGUAACUAUGCACGUCUUGACGGUACCUAAUCAGAAAGCCACGGCUAACUACGUG
rnacentral:rRNA from 1 species